rnacentral:lncRNA from 1 species
AAAAGCAAAUAAGUACGGAACGCAGCGAAAAAUUAAAAUCGUGCGAUAAUCGUGCGAAUGGUUUUUAUGCCCAGAAUUGUUCAGAAACAAAGUCUGAUGUUUUUAAGCUGCAAAAUCCUUUAUAACUUUCACUUAACACUACGAAAAUUAUGAAAACCAACGCAAGUUUUGCCGAGUUUCUUUGUUUGAGUGAGUUUAAAACAUUGGAUUCGAGAUAUUCAAAUUAAUUUCCACUUAAAAACCUGCUAAAACAAUGCCUUCAUAUUUAAAGCUUGACUCCAGUGAAAAUCAUUUUCGCAGGAAAACAUAAAAUUUCAAAAGCAUUAGGCUUCGAGUGCUCCCCCUGUGAACUGCUAAAACAGUUUAGCACAUAAUUAUUCACAUUAAGCACCGAUAACAACUUCAUAAAUAAUAUCCAAAUAUGAAGAUCAUUCAUAUGUAAUUCCUCAAAAUCCUUAAAGCACCUAAAAAUGUAUCUAAAAGCAAAUAAUUAUGAAACACAGCGAAAAAUUAAAAUCGUGCGAUAUUUGUGCGAAUGGUUUUUAUGCCCAAAAUUGUUCAAAACCAAAAGUCUGAUGUUUUAAACUUCGAAAUCCUUUAGAACCUACACUUAACACCAUGAAAAACAACAAGAAAAUUAAAAUCAUGCGAAAAUUGUUCGAAUGUUUUUUAUGCCCAGAAUUGUUCGAAAACAAAGUAUGAUAUUUUGAGCUUCAAAAUCCUUUCUAAGUUUCUUUGUUUGAGCAAGUUUAAAACAUUGGAUUCAAGAUUUUGAAAUUCAUUUCCAUUUAAAAACCUGCUAAAACAAUGCUUUCCUAUUUUAAAGCUUCACUCCAGUGAAAAUCGUUUUCAAAGCAAAACAUAAAAUUUCAAAAAGCAUUAGGCUUCGAGUACUCCCCUGUAAACUGGUAGAAAGCACAAAACGAUAUCCAACUUCAUAAAUAAUAUCCAAAUAUGAAGAUCACUCAUAUGUAAUUCCUCAAAAUCCUUAGAGCACCUAAAAAUGUAUCUAAAAAGCAAAUAAGUAUGAAACGCAGCGAAAAAUUAAAAUCGUGCGAUAAUCGUGCGAAUGGUUUUUAUGCCCAGAAUUGUUCAGAAACAAAGUCUGAUGUUUUUAAGCUGCAAAAUCCUUUAUAACUUUCACUUAACACUACGAAAAUUAUGAAAACCAACGCAAGUUUUGCCGAGUUUCUUUGUUUGAGUGAGCUUAAAACAUUGGAUUCGAGAUAUUCAAAUUAAUUUCCACUUAAAAACCUGCUAAAACAAUGCCUUCAUAUUUUAAAGCUUGACUCCAGUGAAAAUCAUUUUCACAGGAAAACAUAAAAUUUCAAAAGCAUUAGGCUUCGAGUGCUCCCCCUGUGAACUGCUAAAACAGUUUAGCACAUAAUUAUUCACAUUAAGCACCGAUAACAACUUCAUAAAUAAUAUCCAAAUAUGAAGAUCACUCAUAUGUAAUUCCUCAAAAUCCUUAGAGCACCUAAAAAUGUAUCUAAAAAGCAAAUAAGUAUGAAACGCAGCGAAAAAUUAAAAUCGUGCGAUAAUCGUGCGAAUGGUUUUUAUGCCCAGAAUUGUUCAGAAACAAAGUCUGAUGUUUUUAAGCUGCAAAAUCCUUUAUAACUUUCACUUAACACUACGAAAAUUAUGAAAACCAACGCAAGUUUUGCCGAGUUUCUUUGUUUGAGUGAGUUUAAAACAUUGGAUUCGAGAUAUUCAAAUUAAUUUCCACUUAAAAACCUGCUAAAACAAUGCCUUCAUAUUUUAA